rnacentral:rRNA from 1 species
AACGAACGCUGGCGGCAGGCCUAACACAUGCAAGUCGAGCUCGCCUUCGGGUGAGCGGCGGACGGGUGAGUAACGCGUGGGAAUAUGCCCUUCUCUACGGAAUAGUCCUGGGAAACUGGGGGUAAUACCGUAUACGCCCUUUGGGGGAAAGAUUUAUCGGGGAAGGAUUAGCCCGCGUUGGAUUAGGUAGUUGGUGGGGUAAUGGCCUACCAAGCCGACGAUCCAUAGCUGGUUUGAGAGGAUGAUCAGCCACACUGGGACUGAGACACGGCCCAGACUCCUACGGGAGGCAGCAGUGGGGAAUCUUAGACAAUGGGGGCAACCCUGAUCUAGCCAUGCCGCGUGAGUGAUGAAGGCCUUAGGGUUGUAAAGCUCUUUCAGCUGGGAAGAUAAUGACGGUACCAGCAGAAGAAGCCCCGGCUAACUCCGUG